AUGGAGAUUGGAACAGAGCAGUGCGUAAGGAAAAAUUAUGAUUGCCGGGCAUCUUUGAAUUUAUAUCACGGGUUAGUAAUGACCCCAGACCUCCUUGCCACAGUUCUCUUCAGCAGUGGCUACAAUCCUGGGCAUAUGCACAGGGAAAGGGGAACAUUUCUGAAGUUUACCCUUGAUUGUACCCACCCUGUAGAAGAUGGAAUCAUGGAUGCCGCCAAUUUUGAGCAGUUUCUUCAGGAGAGAAUCAAAGUGAAUGGAAAAGCUGGAAAUCUCGGUGGCGGGGUGGUAACCAUUGAAAGGAGCAAAAGCAAGAUCACUGUAACUUCCGAGGUGCCUUUUUCCAAAAGGUAUUUGAAAUAUCUGACCAAAAAGUACUUGAAGAAGAAUAACCUCCGUGACUGGCUGCGCGUGGUGGCCAACAGCAAGGAGAGCUACGAGCUACGCUACUUCCAGAUCAACCAGGACGAGGAGGAGGAGGAGGACGAGGAUUAGAAGUCCUGUGUCUGGGAUAUUUUGUAUAAUCUUUAAAUAAAAUCUAGGAAUCACAAA